CAAGUUUUUCAACAAAUUUACAAGUGUUUAAACAAAUUUACAAUGAGCGAACAAAAUUACAUGUUGUAAAACAAAUUUACGUUUAUUACGGAAAGGGUAGGUACAAUACGCUGACGUCACGCAUCCGAGACUCCGGUCACGUGGGAAGAAACCCGGAAGUAUCGCCGUGAAUCACAUGAGAGUUGCAAAUGCGAUGUUGUGUAUUAGGCUGUACAUCAUAUUAACGUAAAGAGAGUGAUAAUAUAUAUCCUUUCAUCUAUUCCCGAGUGACUCAAAGGGAUAUUGGACCUUAUUUUCAGAUUACAGACAACACGAGAGGGUGCUCCAAACUUUUUAAUCAGGACUGCAUUGUUUGUUCGCUCCCGGGGUUACAUAGACUGAAAAGGGGAAGCGUGACGAGUUUGUUUACAUGGUGCUGUAAACUCCAACUACAGGAGGACACUUCAGAGGAAUCACAGGGAUAACAUGGUGUGAUUUUUUUUGUCAAAACCAGAACUGACUUCCGAAUCCACCUGGAACGCAUUUACUUUGAUGGAGACAAAUGGAAAUUUGGAGAAAUUCAGCAUUACAUUGCUUACAAUUGGAUCCUCUGCAGUGAAUGGGUGCCGUGAGAAUGAGAGUCCAAACUUUGCACCUCUUGUGAAGUGAAAAGAUGUUUGGACAUUAGCCCAUGUUAUGCAUAUUCGACUGACUGUUGCCUUGGACAGAUUAAAAGUCCUGUUUUUCCUGUGUUUUUAAACUAUGAUUGUGUUUAUGGUGUGCAAUAUAGCGUGUGUUCAUGUUUUGUGUGUAAAAAAACACAGUAUUUUUCACAUAAUUACUUAUCUCUAUAGCACUGUUUUCACUGUCCUAAAAUCGGGCUGAUUU